ACAGAAUUCCAGUGUCGGAUAAAGGUCAGCACCGUGGCCUUGAUCUGGCCACUCAGGGCUCUUCUGCUGGGGCCCGGGCUCCAGGUCUGGUUUGCUGUGCGGUCCGGGCUGUGAAGGGUGGGCCUUCUCCCCUCCUUCACGAACCCAGAGCCUUCUGCCCUAGACGAGGACUGGCACUGGGACUCUCCGUGCGGUUUCCGGUCCCAGGGUGCAGCUGGCUUCCCAGGCAGCGGGGCAUUUGCAUGAGAAAGCCUCGCGGCGGCUUUCUUCACGCGGGAACCUUAUCAUUUCCAUCAAGGGCAUUUUUUGGGUAUUAUUAUAUUCCUUCCCUCCUGCCCCUCCUCCUCCCACUCCUGUUGAAAGCCACUUUUAACUAAAUGGAGUCAAAUGAAAGCCAGAUUAGCUGCUUUGCUUUUCUCAUGGCUGAUAAUGAUUUAAUGCUAUGUUUGUCUCGAUUUAGAAAUAAAUUAAGGCGCCUUUUAAAAUCGUUGCUUCAGGUUCUAAGAGGUUGGAGAAAACAACCAUUACGUUUCCCUUAACAACCUUUCCUACCUCCUCCUGUACGCGGUCGAGGUACAUUUGUUGGUCUGACCCCCAGCGGUCUGAGCGUAGUGGCUUCACAGAGAGACAGGAGAGGGAGGAGGGACUGGCCAAGGACACCAAGGAUUGCCGGAAGGCACCAGAAUCUAGGACGGAGGCCUGGGACCCAUUCUCCCUCAGAGCCUCUGGAAGGAAGCAGCCCCGCCCCCACACACCUGCCAUUGGGACUUGUGGCCUCCAGGGCGGUGGGAGAGUGAAAGUGCCUUGUUCCAGGGCCACUGACCCCGUGGUAGUCGGUUGUGGCAGCCCCGGGACACGAACACGGAAGGAGUUCUGGGGCCCACACGGCCCGGGGGGUCCGGAUUUCUGGUCCCUGGGUGGGGGGAGGGGCGGUGUGGAUCUGAGGAGUGGCCCACGGGCAGGGGGCACUUUGGUGCGUGGGGAGAAGCCCCGGCGUGGCCGUCCUCCCCGCAGAGGCGGCUCUGGCAGGAGCAGCCUCCACUUGUCUGUCCCCGUUUGUCAGCCGUCCCGAGCUCAUCUGUGCCUCAAGGAUUUCUGGCAUUUCUCUGCCAGACUUCAGCCGUGAGAUGACCGCGUGCCGGAGCGACGCGCUCCUCCCCGGGAGGGAGGGUCUCCGGGACCAGGGUUCUGACCACAUUUAAGGGAAGAGAGAAGGAAGAGGCUCCUUUCGUGCCGACGUUCAGACGUGCAGGGAGAAGAGGCCUGGAUCUGCGCUUCCUCCUCUCUCCCUCCUGGGCCCGGCCGGACACCGCCUCCUGGCUGCUCUCCUUGCUUGCACAUGGCCCGCCAGCUCAUGCCCCCGGCGGGCAGCGAGACCCUAGGAAACCCAAACCUGGUCCCAGGGCCUCCCUUGUACACCUGUCAGUGGGGAGGACGGCGACGCUGUCUCAGGCCCGAAGUCUCUGAACUCCCUCCCACGUCAUCCACACUUUCCCUCACCCCUUGGCUUCCCUCUGGGGGUGCGAGGACCACGGACCAACCCUGCCCAUAUGUCUGCUCAGCAGACCCUCCUUCGGGGGCCUCUCUGGGCAUGCUCAGUCCUCGCUGUCAGGUGGGGUCCUCCGUCCUCCCUGUGAGGUGGGGUCCUCCGUCCUCCCUUAGAAGUGGGAUCCCCUGUCCUCCCUUUGAGGCGGGGUCCCCCGUCCUCCCUUUGAGGUGGGGUCCCCUGUCCUCCCUUUGAGGUGGGUUCCUCCGUCCUCCCUGUGCGGUGAGGGUACUUGCAUAGGUGAGGCCAGGGUCAGACAUUCACCUUCACCGGAGGAAGGUCAGGUCUGUGGCCUCAGGUGCUUUAGGGGAUCUGACGCGUCAGGGCCGUGGGUGCUUUUCCUGGUUGGCCCCCUGGGCUGUGUGUGAGCCCACCUGCACGUCCUGGCUAGGUGCCCCCUUUGGGGCGUCUUGGAGCAGGUCUGUGUCCCAAGGGAGCAGGCAUGGGGGACGGCAGGGAAGGCCUGCCCACAGCUGCCCUCCUGGGCGCCGCCCUCUGAGAGCCCCCUGCGUCCCAGUAGGACUGUGACCGGUGGAUCCCACAGAACAAACAGUGGACACGCCGCCACUUUGUCACAAGGGCCCCCUGACAGCCUCCUCGUGUCCUGGUCCGGCUGCUCUGCUUCCGGAAUAGUGGCCAACACCAAACCCCUCCAAACCCCUGGCCUCGUUCACUCAUCGACUGACAGAUCACAGAGCCCGGCUUCCCUCCACACCUUCUCUCUGGACUCGCUGUCUGGGCCUCAGGGACCUCCCCCCCCCUCCCCCCCCAGGGAACCGUACUUAACGGGCUGGGAAACUGAGGCUCAGUGGCUUGUCAGAAGCCUAGGCCACCCACCCACGUCCACGUCCUGGGUCCUUCCCCCGGCGCUGUGUUACAACGGGACGCACGGCGCCAGCGACCGGAAGCGGUGGGAGGGGAGGGAGUGCCCCGUUGACGUCACCAGGUGCUGGUGCUCUGGACCUUGCAGCCCGCCACCCCCCCGUCCCUGCUUCAGGUGCUGCCGGCAGGAUGCGGUCCCUGCUGGGUCAGCCUGGCCCUUACCCCGGUCCUGCCUCUGAGCCUCCUCCAUGGCAGCUUUGGGCCUCACUGGGGGGUCUGGAUGCAUGUGGUGCCCACUGGUAGGAAGGGGCCUGUCUCCCUCCAGCCGCCCCGUCCCCCGCUCCUGGUCCCCACUCUCUGCCGACGGUCACGCUUGGCUGUGCCCCAAGAGGCCCGGACUCGGGGGCGUCCACCGUGUCGCCAACCCGCUCUGUCUUCCUGCGUGGCUGCGCUUGGCGGUGGGUGGCCAAGAACGUGUAGGAACCUUCCGUAUGAACCAGAUGUGGAAAACUGAGGCUCAGAGAGGCUCCGUCCCCUCAGCCUCGGGGCCUGCCUGCUCCCCGCACCCAGGGCAGAGCUUUCUGUGUGGAGCCAGGCCCCAGGGUCCAGGAGGGAGGUGACCAGCCAGUCUCUCUGUGUCCUGGGGAGGCCCUGCUGGUUCCCCCCUCCGUCUGGCACUGGCUGGCAUGUCUGCUCACUUCCCAAGCACGAGGAGGUACCCGGCCUCCGAGGCCUCCUGACACUCACUGGUUCCAGCUCAAAGCCCCCUCAUUGUGUCCCGAUAGCUCCAAGCUGACGUGGCUGCCACUGUCUGUGACGUGUCGCCCAGGGACAUUCCCCUCUCUCCUUAGAGUUAUUACCAGUGUGUGAAUCUGGUCUUGGGGAAGAUGCUCACGCCUGCCUGCCUGGGUCAGGGUGGCCCCGCUCCCUGCUGUCCCCACGGCCAGUGCAUAGAGCAGGUCCCUCGGAGGCAGAGGAGAAGCAGCCUGCCCUACUGGUCUGAAAGGUCCCCAGUGUGGAGCAGGGAGGGGGAGGGCGACCCUGGCCGCUGCACUCCAAUGUCCCCUCCUCACCCCGGCCCAGGGGACUGGCCAACCUCUGAGCCCCAGCUUCCAGGUCAGCAAGCCCUGAUGAGCCCUUCCCGGACAAUAGUAGCAUCUUCGUCACUAGGCAGGCCUCUGUCCCCUCAGUGCCCACCACUCACCUGUCUGAGCCUUGACUUUCUCACCUGUAAGGUGGGACAAUAGCAGUGCCUGCUCACAGGGGCUCUGAGGACAUGUGUUUGGGGCUGUGUCCAGCACGAGAGUAGGAGAGGCUGGCCAGGCAGGGCGGUGCCGGCAGGUGGCAGGUGCCACGCAGGAGGGGAGGCCCACCUGCCCCUGCAGCCUGUUGCAGUGGGGAGUGGGGACAGGACAGAUGGGUCAGCUCGGCCUCCCAGAAUACCAGCUGUGCUUCCCAGGCUCCCCCCACCCCCGGGGUAGGAAGGGGAGAGGCCUUUGCACACCCCAGCAGGCCAGAGCUUUGAGGAGGCGGGUUAAUGCAGGGUGAGUUCCCGUCCGUCACCUGCAAUGACCCGUUGUGAGAGGACGCUGAGAAAACAGAGACAAAAAUCAAUGAGGAUUUGGAAACAGACAUUGCUGGAAACAGUUUAUUUCCAGAAGCAGCGUGGUCUGGAAGAGAUCUGAAGUGUCGGCCCCGAGGGGGGCCUGGGACAGACUGGAGAGAGGGGCCCCGGUCCCCAGCGAGGGACUACCUCACCCGGAGCCUCUCCCUGACCCGCUCUGGGCCCCGGGCAGGGCCUGGUCUUCAGCCGGGAGGUCGCUGCUGCAGGUGUCCUAGGCUGGGGGCCUCUAGGCAGAGACGACUGUAGGCUUUAGGAUGCGGGGGGCAGAUGGGAGGGUGGGGAGCUCCCAGCGCCUGCCAAUCUCCCCGGGCGUGUGGGCCGGCAGGGCAUCAAGUGGUAUUUAUGACUCUGCUGGGAGGCUGUGUGAGUUGAUCGGUUUGUUCGUUCAUUCGUUCGUUCGUUCAUUUGUUCAUUCACUCAUUCAUUCAACAGCUGUGUCUCAGGGAUCUCUGAUGUGCUGGGUGACGUCCAUCCGCCCCAGACUCUCCGUUCUAUUUCUGUAUCCCUGGAACACAGCCCAGUCAUCACUGCUCACUUACAGUCCCCGAGGUCAGUGUGCUGAUGGAGGUGAGCCCUGGGUUCCCCGAGUGUCAGGCAGAGGGUGGCCCUGGUCUGCCUGGGGUGCUGUUAGGAGCCGCUCACUGCUCUUCCUGUCUGCACCCCAAACCCUCCCUAGGCUCGGGGAGAUGAUGCCCUGCGGGGAGGAAUGUCACUGCUUUUUAAGGCGUAUUAGGCUGAGAAGUGGGCACCCCCGUCAGGGCCCAUGCCGGGUGCCUCUGUAGCUCUGUGGAUGGAAAGUGACAGCUAGUAUUUCUGAAAAGAAUUCUGUCAAGACCACAGUACAUCAAGGGCCCUACACAGGCUUAUUAAAGUGGAGCCACUGAAUAAUUUUCCCAGAAUAAUAGCAUUUCUUAAGGAUUGUGAAUGAGCCCCGGUCUCUCUUUAGCUGCCACGAGCCAGAAAUGUCCGGGGGUGGCUCCAGGGCACCAUUUCAAGCUGCAGAGCCCGUUAGGUUCCCCUGGGAACACGGAGGCGGGUGCGGGCAUCAGAGUUACCCUGGCAGGCUCCGGGGUCGUGUGGAGAUUAAACGCGAGCGGAGACUGCAGUUUCCAGGUGCUCGCUCACAGGUAUCUUUAAGACGCCCUGUGCGCAACAGCUGAGGAAGCGGCAGGUGCCGGGGCUGCGGUACUGAGGAGACUGGGAAAGAUGUAUCCCGCUGGGUCUUUGGAUUUGUCGGCUUGGACAGGGGGGCUGGGCUUUGGCCAGGGGCCUGGGCACUUCUGAGAUUCUGAUCAGCUUUCUCCAGGGUGUGGGGGCUGGGGCUGGGUGGGGGGCACAGCUGUCUGACUCCAGUCACCCUUUCCAGGUAGAGGGAGGAGCUGAGCUGGGUCCCCAGCACCUGCAGGAGACGUUAGCUGCCUGGGGUGGGAAAGUUUAAUGCCCCCCCCCCCCGCCUUUGAGGAUGUGCACCUGCCGGGGGGAUAGGAAUAGCUCCUUCUCCCCCAAGCCCAAGCACUUGAACCCAGGUCAGUGAGGUCAGCAAGAGGCUAAACCCUGAGCUCGUCAGCCUCUGAGAGCCUGUGGUUCUGAGACCCCCUCUGUGCAGGGAGAAAGUCAGCCAGUCAUUGUCAGGCCCAGGCUGGACGUGUGUGGAGGCGGGGACAUUUCUUCCCCGUCACAGAUGGCUCUGUGGGUGUGUGACUAUCCAGUCGCACGGGGCUCCCUGCUUGGGGGGGCUCCCUGCUUAGGGGGGGCUCUCUGCUUAGGGGGGGGCUCUGCACUCGGUUUAAUGCUCUAUUGCUGUUUUGAAAUGUGGAAUAAUUGUUCCGCAAGGGGUUCCAGGCUUUUAGUCUGCACAGGGCCCUGCAGACUCCCUAGCCAAUCCUCCCUCUCACUCCCCUGGGGUGGGGGUGGGGGCAGGGCUCCCCCAGGCGGGUGUCGUGAACCCCUGAUGGGAGCGUUUGGGAGGACCUGCGGGCCCGUGCAGCUCAGCCUGUCCCCGCUGCCCUCUCUUCUCAGGACUCACCAGCCUGCGGUGACCCGUGUGCCGGGCUGCUCGCCCCUCCCUGUGACAGGAUCCCAGGCGAGCCUGGUAGUCUGUCCUCACGACAUCAGCUUCGACUAAACCGUGAACUUCCGUGCCAUCAGAGGUGCAGCCUGAUGGGGACCAUGUCCGGGAGCUGCCUCAUUCAUCAGCGGGUACAGCAAGGUGGCCCAUCCGUCCUGUGGAAAGACAGACAAGGCGCUCACAUGAGCUACAGCACGGAAGAGUCUUGAAAACGUGGUUCCAACAGGAGGAAAAUCAGCUUCUGGCGACUGUGAGAUGAACUCACGGGCAGGACGUUCGCCCCCUACCUCCCCAGGAUGGACGGGACUGGGAGUCUCUGGAAUCAUCCACGCUGGAGUCGCCUCGGAACCUUCGGGAGGCCGGAAACAAGAGAUUCGAGCUGAGUGUCCGGGAAAGACAAUCCGCCAUGGAAUGUACCGGCCUGGUGGAAGGACAGGAAGCUGCCCAGGAGCCGGCGGGCCCACUCACCCACCCAGCUCAGGUCAAGCCUAAGUCCUGCACAGGUGCAUGUGAUCGGUGGAAUCUACAGCUCAGCUUGAACUCAAGCUGCAAAGGGUUCUGGGAAAUGUAGUUCUUAGCGUUGCAGCUUCCAUAGUCCAGGAAGGCGUGCUCCGACUCUGAACAGAUGGAGAGAGCCAGCGCCCCGUGGCCACACACAGCCCAUAAUCCCUGGACACUGCGCUUUCCAAAGGGUGGCAUGGGCUACAUACCACGUUGUCCUGAUCUCCCACCCUGCCGGAGCAGGGGGGAAGUUGGCCCCUAAAACUCAGGACAGAAGGUAAGAGGUUAGGGCCGGACUGGUGUCAGCAUCUUAGCUACUGCUCACUCCUUAGCACUGGGAGCUUCUGUGACCUAUCAAGUUUGCCAUAAACUCACCGGAUGCGGAUUUUGUCACUCGUA